AACUCUCUGCCAUGUUCGUGCUGAGCCUCUUAUUUCCGCUGAGCCGAUAAACAAGUCCGCAGGGGGCCGAAUUUCGCCGAGGUUGCUUGUCCGGUUGGCGCCCGUGCUCUUCGGAGCAUCCGCCAAAUAACUCGCCCCAAGGCUUUGGCUCCCACUUUACUUGCGGGCUCGUGGAACCUCGGGCCCACGGCAUUGCGGCAGAGGGUUG
rnacentral:sRNA from 1 species